AUGCAUAGAAAGAGAGGGAGGAAGAGAAAUAAAGAGAGCAGCAGCAGUUUGUGGUUCAGAAGAGAAGUAGCAGCAACAGAGGUGAGGAAGCAGAGCUGCAGCGAGGUAGGAGUUCAGAGAAGAACAACAGCAAGGUUAGGAGAAGGAGAAGAACAGCAGAAGGUGUUGCAAGAAAGAGAGGAGCAGCAGCUUGGGCACGGAAUAAGCAGCAGCAGGAGUUCAGAGUUCAGAACAGCAACAAGUGCAGAACAUCAGCAGGUCGUUUUCUUCAGUAAAGGAACAACAACAAGGAAAAGUAAUGUGAGCAGCGUGGGGAUUGGAGUAGAAGCAGCAGUAGGAGGUUGA
rnacentral:rRNA from 1 species